ensembl:lncRNA
GCUCAGUGCAGAGUUUGAAAGUGAAGCAUUUGUUAAUUCCCAGCAGUGUCAGCUACAGGAGUGGAGACUGUAUAGCAGGGUGAAGAGAAUGAGACCAUAUUUGUCAAGGAGGUUUAGAGAGAUGAUGCCGGAAUAGUAUUGCGACUAUAUCCGGAAAAAUUAACUUUAUUAGCAUUGAUUGUCAUGAGCACGUGGAGAUAAUCCUGACUUAAAAUACAGCAUUUGGGAUCAUCUCUGCAUUGUACUCAAUGCCUAGAAAGGAAGGGUGCAAGGGACUGAAACUUACAGUAAGAAUCGUGGUCGGCAGGAGAUCCCUCAGCACUACCAGCACCAUGGAGAGAGACAGAGAGAGCAGAGAGAAAAGGCAUUGAGGUUCCACAAAGCAUCCAAGGGCCACUGGAGAUAUUCCCAGGGAAAAGUGCCUCCAUCUCCUAUCGUACUGCAAUCUCUCCUCUACACGAGGGAAUCCACUGACAAAGCUCACACUGAAAAAGGAGCAGCACCCCAGGGUCCCAGAUGCCCACCAAUUACCCAGACCUGCCACUUCCUGCUCACCUACAGCAUCUCUUCCCACAAGCACCUGAAAGAAGAAGAGUCCCACAUCAGAGCUUUGACAGCCUCAUGGAUCCCACACAGUACCCAGAAGCCCAUAAGCCCUGACCUUUCUUGAUGAUCCAGCAGGAGGCUGCGGACAGGAGCAGGGUGACAGCCACUGGUGCCACAGCGAUGACUAUGGGGUCCAACGGGGUGUAUGAGUCUGGGGACAAAGCGGAGUGAUGGGGACUAAUGAAUAGGAUGGGGACACGGGAAUGUGAUGGGGUCAGAGCAGGGUGAUGCAGACAGUGGGGUGUGAUGGGGAUGUAGUGAUGGUAUGGGGACACAGGGAAGGGAUGAGGACAACAGUAAGGGACAGGGUCAACAGGACCAAAGGGGAGCCUCUCACCGGCAUGUGCUGUCUCUUCCGUGGAUCUGGGCACAAGGCCUGGGGGGACAAAUGGAUGGGCUGAGUAUCCCCCGAACUCUCACCUCUGCAUGAACACGGCUCCUGAGUGCAUUGCUAUGGGGCAGGGCUUGCAGCCAUAGGAAGGUGCCCACUGAGCCUGCCCUUCUCCUGAGACACCUAGAACGAUGUAAGUUCCCUUUGAUCUGAUUACGUAAACUAUGCUGGAUUUAAAAAUGCAUGGCAGAGAUGCAACCGUGCACUGUAUGAUACUGCAGCACAAUUCUCUACUUCACCUUGUGGAUAAGAAACGACUAGUAUGUUGAUCUGCCUCUAUGGGAUGGGAUGGCAGCAUCCCAUUUGCAAGACUCCAUAAUGCAUUUCCCCUCCUGCCGCCAUCUAAAGCCUCUUUUAGGUGGUUUUGUUGAAGGUGGAGGCACCCAGAUCCCAAAGCACACCAACAUCUGGCCAUCCCCACACUAUGGCCACAGCAUCGUCUUCUUGCUGCAUAGGAACUCACACGGUGAGAAACCACCCCACACUUGGAAAUCACCCGAGUUUCCAUUCCUUAUUCUCAAAACAUUUUUUGAAUAACCCUUGCAGCAUCACUUCCCACAAAAGGGAUUGUGCCCAAACCCUGCACCUUUUUUUUCUGAGCCUGGGCACUGCAGUGCCCCAUUUCUGCACCACGGGAUGGAGAGGGAGACCAUUCCAGAGCCCACUUCUGUCUAUGGCAUUUCUUGAUCCAGAAAAUCUAUGUGGUGUUCAGUCCCCCGAUCCCCUGCGUCCGCACAACCCUGGUGUCAUGUCCCACCUGUGACAUGUAGGUCCAAGGGAGUGCUGAGGGGAGAUCUCCUUAGCCAAUUGCUCUCGUUCCUCUGCUGGUACACACACGUGUAUGUCCCACUGCUUCUUGCAGAGAUGUUCAUCAGCAUGGAGUAGAUGACCGUAUGCUGAUGGGCUUUCAUGCUGUAAACCUCCAUCCCAUCCUUGCAGAAGACAAUCCGGGCAGCAGGAACCAGCAUCUGAAGGACACAUCGAGCCAGGACGACUUCCCCUUCCUGAGCUCUGGAAGUGUAAAGGUACAGGAGUGGAGCCUGGAGAGUACCUGGAGAGAUGGCACAGGGAUUCUACUGGCAUCAUUUCUGGGAAACCAGACUGCACCCAAUGCAUGAAAUAUCUUCUCUCCUGGGGUGGAUAAUGGGAAUAAAGGGGGAGACGAUGCCUUUCUUUCUUUCCAUCUCCUCCCCCUCCAUGUCAUCAUUUUCUGAACUCAUUCCCACACUCGCCAUCAGCAGUGGAACUGCAGAUGCCCUGGGUGCUCACAGCAGUACCUGCACCACGGGACAGAGAGAGUUUUGUUUAGAGGGACAAUGUCCUGCUCACCCAGAUGUUCCCACCCAUGUCCCCACGGAGGACUAGGCACCAUCCCGUCUGCCUAUCCCCAUACAGUGUCUCUGAGAAAGCUCAGGUCCAUUUGUGGUGCGUUUGCUGCUUCAAGUACUGUUCCCUAUCUUUCUAAAGCACCCAGCAUUUGUAACUCACGUAUUUUUGGAGCACGCCUACACCCUUCACCUACUGCACCACUGCCCUCAGCACCAUCCCAAGCCUAUUUCUGGUGGGAUUCCUGCUCCAGGCAUGGUUCCCCACUUCACACAGCAUCCCCAACUCACCAACCACCACCAGCAGCAGGAGGGCAGGGACACGAGGACACGCCAUGGUCCAUUGCGCUUCCCCCAACAUCUUUUGGAGAUCUC